AUGGAGAAGCACCUGCGUGCCUGCUGGGUGCUUUUGUGGCUGUAUUUUCAGCGGGUGGCUGGCAAGACCCAAGUGGAGCAGAGUCCCGAGUCCUUGGUCGUACUGGAGGGAGAGAGCUGUGUCCUUCAGUGCAACUACAGUGUGAGCCCCUUUAACAACUUAAGGUGGUACAAACAAGACACAGGCAGAGGUCCUGUGUCUCUGGCAAUCAUGACAUAUGCAGAGAACAAAAGGUCAAAUGGAAGGUACUCAGCAAUUCUGGAUGCAGAUGCUAAGCACAGCACUCUGCAUAUCACAGCCUCCCUGCUGGAAGACACGGCCUCCUACAUGUGUGUGGUGGGUGCACCAUGCUCCCCAGGGGUGAGCAGCCAGCAGAAGAUGCAGCAGAACCCAGAAUCCCUCAGUGUCCCAGAGGGAGCCGUGGCCUCUCUCAACUGCACUUCCAGUGAUCCUAAUUUUCAGUACUUUUGGUGGUACAGACAGCAUUCUGGGCAAGGCCCCAAGGCACUGAUGUCCAUCUUCUCCAGUGGUGACAAGGAAGAAGGCAGAUUCACAGCUCACCUCAAUAAAGCCAGCCUGCAUGUUGCCCUGCACAUCAGAGACUCCCAGCCCAGUGACUCUGCUGUCUACCCUGUGCAGUGA